GUUGACUACGUAACACAUAUUGUGUAUUAUUUUGUAAUAUCUGUUUCGUUCUAUUUUUGAAAAGGGAGUGGUUCAUUUUUUUUAGGGUUUCAGGCAGAUUAUUAAAUAAUACUGAACCGGUGUAAAACGGAGAUUUUUUAUAAAAUGAAUGUUGGUGUUUUGGAAUCAAGAUUUUAUUUCUACCUCUGGUGUUGUGAUCGUGAAUUUGACAUAUUUUGUUAAAUUUGUGUCGGUUUUUAUGAAGAUAAAUAAGUAAUUUAAAGAUAUAUAUACAUAAGACAGUGGCAUUAUUUUAUGAUUUUUGAAAGUGUCCCGACAUGUUUGAGCGUAAUUAAGAUUGUACAUCAAGCGUAUUAUACGUUUUUGUAAUAUAAAUACUCUGUGAGUAUGUGUACUUGCUCCCCAACAUGCAAUGUUAUAGCUUAAAUAUGGAUACACAACCGCAGAGUAAACUUUAAGUAGCAAAUUUUCAUCGAAUUGUUUCAGUCGUGAUAACAGAUAAUACGAUGAGUUAAGCUUACUUAUAACGUAUUCAGUUUGAGGAAGCCACGACAAACUGGAAUCAAUUAUAGUACCAAGAUACGUGCUAUGUGGUUUACAAGAGAUCAGUGAAUCCUCAAUGAGAAUCUCAUAGGGGAGUUUAUCUUCAGUUUAUUAGUGCUGCACCAAGAAAAAUUCGUGAACAACCCUUUUUAAUUUUGGCAAAGCUAAGUCGGAGUUCUCAGCACUUACAACUACUGCUGUGUCGUCAGCGUACAUGAAUGUAAACCCAUUGAUAAUGGCUGGUGGUAGAUCGUUAAUGUAAAGUAGAAAGAGAACUGGACCAAGGGUGCUCCCUUGGGGAGUUCCAUUUUGCAAAGUAAUACUCCUUUGAAGUUGUAUUAUUGUAUUUAACAUAGUAUUUCCUACUUGUUAAAAACGAUAUAAGGAAGUCAUGUAUUUCGUUUCUGAUCCCUACAGCACCAAGCUUUCGAGACAUUAAGUCAAUGUUGAUGCUAUCAAAAGCUUUACUAAUAUCAAAAUAAACAACAAAGCAGGCUUUAUUUAGGUCCAUUUCGUUCAUUAUGUGUUGUAUUAGAUGAACUGUAGCAUCCUCGGUUGACAAUGAGGGGCGAAAAACCAAAUUGUUUUUCGGAUAGAAUGUUGUAUUUUUCCAAAUAAAGAUUUAAUCUCUUAUA